rnacentral:misc_RNA from 1 species
UCUCCGUAGGUGAACCUGCGGAGGGAUCAUUACCGAGUGAGGGGGCCCCGCGCCCCCGACCUCCCAACCCUUUGUUUCAACCCACUCUGUUGCCUCGGGGGGCGACCCGGCCUUCGGGCGUCGGGGCCCCCGGUGGACCACCCAACCCUGCAUCGUUGCGUCUGAGUCGAAAUAUAAAUCAAUCAAAACUUUCAACAACGGAUCUCUUGGUUCUGGCAUCGAUGAAGAACGCAGC